GGGGCCAUAGCUCAGUUGGGAGAGCGCUUGCAUGGCAUGCAAGAGGUCGUGGGUUCGAAUCCCAUUGGCUCCA
rnacentral:tRNA from 7 species